CGGGAUGUAGUUCAGUUGGUUAGAAUGCUAGUUUUGGGAACUAGUGGUCACUGGUUCGAGUCCAGUUAUCCCGA
rnacentral:tRNA from 1 species